rnacentral:rRNA from 1 species
AGCGAACGCUGGCGGCAGGCCUAACACGUGCAAGUCGAACGGACCCUUCGGGGUUAGUGGCGGACGGGUGAGUAACACGUGGGAACGUGCCUUUAGGUUCGGAAUAGCUCCUGGAAACGGGUGGUAAUGCCGAAUGUGCCCUUCGGGGGACAGAUUUAUCGCCUUUAGAGCGGCCCGCGUCUGAUUAGCGAGUUGGUGAGGUAAUGGCUCACCAAGGCGACGAUCAGGAGCUGGUCUGAGAGGAUGACCAGCCACAUUGGGACUGAGACUCGGCCCAAACUCCUACGGGAGGCAGCAGUGGGGAAUCUUGCGCAAUGGGCGAAAGCCUGACGCAGCCAUGCCGCGUGGAUGAUGAAGGUCUUAGGAUUGUAAAAUCCUUUCACCGGUGAAGAUAAUGACCGUAGCCGGAGAAGAAGCCCCGGCUAACUUCGUGCCAGCCGCCGCAGUAAUAC